rnacentral:rRNA from 1 species
GACGAACGCUGGCGGCGUGCCUAAUACAUGCAAGUCGAGCGGGGUUCCUUCGGGAACCUAGCGGCGAACGGGUGAGUAACACGUGGGCAACCUGCCCUCAAGCCUGGGAUAACUCCGGGAAACCGGUGCUAAUACCAGAUAAUCAUUGCUUCCGCAUGGAAGCUUUGUAAAAGUUUUUCGCUUGAGGAUGGGCCCGCGGUGCAUUAGCUUGUUGGUGGGGUAAUGGCCUACCAAGGCGACGAUGCAUAGCCGACCUGAGAGGGUGACCGGCCACACUGGGACUGAGACACGGCCCAGACUCCUACGGGAGGCAGCAGUAGGGAAUUUUCCGCAAUGGGCGAAAGCCUGACGGAGCAACGCCGCGUGAGUGAUGACGGCCUUCGGAUUGUAAAGUCCUUUUGUUAGGGAAGAAUAUUUUGACGGUACCUAACGAAUAAGAGGUUGCUAACUCUGUGCCAGCCGCCGCCGUAA